AUGAACGCUAGCGACAGGCUAACACAUGCAAGUCGAGGGGUAACAGGGUAGCAAUACCGCUGACGACCGGCGCACGGGUGAGUAACGCGUAUGCAACCUGCCUAUAACUGGGGAAUAGCUCCCUGAAAGGGGAAUUAACACCGCAUAACACUAUUGAUUCGCAUGGAUUGGUAGUUAAAUGUAGCGAUACAGGUUAUAGAUGGGCAUGCGUGACAUUAGCUAGUUGGUGAGGUAACGGCUCACCAAGGCUACGAUGUCUAGGGGUUCUGAGAGGAAGGUCCCCCCACACUGGUACUGAGACACGGACCAGACUCCUACGGGAGGCAGCAGUGAGGAAUAUUGGUCAAUGGGCGCAAGCCUGAACCAGCCAUGUCGCGUGCAGGAAGAACUGCCCUAUGGGUUGUAAACUGCUUUUAUAGUAGAAGAAACACAUCUACGAGUAGAUGUCUGCCAGUAUACUAUGAAUAAGCAUCGGCUAACUCCGUGCCAGCCGCCGC
rnacentral:rRNA from 1 species